rnacentral:lncRNA from 1 species
GAGAAGUCAGUGGCGGAUCUAGGCGGAUCUCCUGAUCUAGGCGGAUCAAGGAGAGGAGAAAGAAGAGAAGGAGGAGGGAGAGAAAGACAAGGAGGAAGGAAAGCCUCCUAGGUUGACAUCCUGCUUCCGCCAGGAGUAGACCCCAAAAGGUUACAAUAACUAAUGGCAACAUCUUUCAUGGGCAGGCCAGUUAUAGGACAUCUUCAACCACCAUCGAGACAAAAGAAGAAUUGAAAAAUUAUGGUUUGAGAUGGAAUGUAGGGUAGAGAGAUAAAAUGAAAUAGUACUUAUAUUUUUUAUCGAUUGAAUAUCUUCAUAUUUAUCGGAAGGGGACAUCUUGCCCCAUGAGAAUUCAAGUGCAUAACGAAACAUACUUAUAAUAUGAAUUGCCAAGAAAAAAUCAGAACCUUCGGUUUUCCGGUGUUAGAAUUUCAUAAUGAUCAUAACUUUCUUAUUCAGCGUCUAAAUUAGAUGAUCUAUAUAUUCAUUUCACUUGUCUCAACGAGAGAUACAUAAUGGUGAAAUCCAACUUAUAAUUUGAGAAUUUUUCACCGGAUGCUCCGGGUUUACCCAAACCUACCAAUUUUCGUAAUUAACUGUCAAUGUUUAAGUGUUUGGUUGCAGUUUCAUCAGAGUCAAGUCAUGCCUG